GCUCAGUUGGUGCAAUUGGCAGACACCGCAAGCUCAAACCUUGCGUCCUGCGAGUUCGAAUCUCGCACUGAGCACCA
rnacentral:tRNA from 1 species